rnacentral:rRNA from 1 species
UACAGAGGUCUCGAGCGUUGUUCGGAUUCAUUGGGCGUAAAGGGUGUGUAGGUGGCGCGCUAAGUCGGGUGUGAAAUUUCGGAGCUUAACUCCGAAACUGCAUUCGAUACUGGCGUGCUUGAGGACUGGAGAGGAGACUGGAAUUCAUGGUGUAGCAGUGAAAUGCGUAGAGAUCAUGAGGAAGACCAGUGGCGAAGGCGGGUCUCUGGACAGUUCCUGACACUGAGACACGAGGGCCAGGGGAGCAAACGGG